GACGAACGCUGGCGGCGUGCUUAACACAUGCAAGUCGAACGAUGAAAGCGGGAGCUUGCUCCUGCUGGAUUAGUGGCGAACGGGUGAGUAACACGUGAGCAAUCUGCCCUUGACUCUGGGAUAACGCCGAGAAAUUGGUGCUAAUACCGGAUAUGACCCCUGGCGGCAUCGCUGGGGGUGGAAAGUUUUUCGGUCAAGGAUGAGCUCGCGGCCUAUCAGCUAGUUGGUGAGGUAAUGGCUCACCAAGGCGACGACGGGUAGCCGGCCUGAGAGGGUGACCGGCCACACUGGGACUGAGACACGGCCCAGACUCCUACGGGAGGCUG
rnacentral:rRNA from 1 species